rnacentral:hammerhead_ribozyme from 1 species
AUCCACCUGACGAGUCCCAAAUAGGACGAAGUAUCGUGCGU